rnacentral:lncRNA from 1 species
AUAUACAGCAUGGGACGGAACUAAUUUUUGAAGCGAGUGUGGGGGCUGUCGGGCGCUCCGCCAUUUCCUCUUGCCCCUAAAGCUGUUAAACUAAAUUAUAGGCCUGGGCGAAUGAGAGGCCAGCUGUGCUUCAGCUGCGGGCCCCAGUUGUUGUGACAAAGUGAAAAGUGUGGGCACCAACAGAUCAUUAACUGCGGAGCCAAAAAUAAGCUGAUGAUGGAAUCACAUGCUCUAAGGGGACAGGAGAACGGGGCCCGUCUAACGCGAGUGCUGGUUCCGGCCCAGGAGGGGACUAAGCCUUACCAGCCAGAGAAGUGAGCUAAGGACAACACCUUAUGCAAUUUGUAUCAGGCUGAAAUUAUCGUGGCUAUCUCCCAUGGAGACAAACUUGAGUGGGUGCCUGGGAGAGCCUGACUGCUCUUUUGUCCAUGCCUUGGAAUGAGCUCUGACUACAUCUUGGGAGAACAGAGGCCCAGCUUGUGGAAUACUCCCUUGGGCCACCUCUGCACUGGAAGAGCUGGCCUUUCAUCCAGGUUCAUUUUCCUUGCCAGGUUCCUCGAUGAAAAGAAGAACAACAAUCUCAGCCCAAGCAGAAGACACAGACUUGAAAUAUCACUUUCUUGGGAGAGCAGUCCCAUCCCAGUGUGACCAGCAUCAUGGAUCCAUCCAGCUUGGUUUAGAGAGAUGAUUAACAGGGAUAAGAGCACGAGAUACCCUUUGGUUCUCCUAAAGAUAUUUGCACUGCUCUCGAUUUAUAAGCUAUUCUUUCCUAAACAGUGUUGUGAGACUUUUGCAAUAAAAUGUAGCCCACCACUUUCCAAAUGUUUGAUCAAAGAAUUCUUCUUUUGAGGGGAGGAGGGUAAGAGAACUGCAUUAUUUGGGCUGCUAUGGAAUUCUGCUUUGGAGUCGUGCUCUUGGCAUACAGUAACAGAAGCUUAUAAAAGAGACUGAUGAACUUCACUUGUGUUUGUUGUACAAAUAUUAAGAAUAUGGUUCAUUUUUUAAAAAUCUCCUGUCCUUUUCAUGAGGAUGCAUGGGAGGAUUUUCCCUUCCUUAGUGCCAGAAAUAGUUGUGUUUUCCUUAGAAACUGUAUUAAUCUUACGGUCUCUUGUAACUAUAUGAUUGAUUGUCUUCCUAUGUGAAUUGGCUGACAGAAAGUUCUUUCCACAAGAAAUGUGUGAGUUCACAUGAAGCCAAGGUGGUCAAUGAACUUG